rnacentral:rRNA from 1 species
UGGAGAGUUUGAUCCUGGCUCAGAUUGAACGCUGGCGGCAGGCCUAACACAUGCAAGUCGAGCGGAAACGAGUUAWCUGAACCUUCGGGGRACGWUAACGGCGUCGAGCGGCGGACGGGUGAGUAAUGCCUAGGAAAUUGCCCUGAUGUGGGGGAUAACCAUUGGAAACGAUGGCUAAUACCGCAUGAUGCCUACGGGCCAAAGAGGGGGACCUUCGGGCCUCUCGCGUCAGGAUAUGCCUAGGUGGGAUUAGCUAGUUGGUGAGGUAAGGGCUCACCAAGGCRACGAUCCCUAGCUGGUCUGAGAGGAUGAUCAGCCACACUGGAACUGAGACACGGUCCAGACUCCUACGGGAGGCAGCAGUGGGGAAUAUUGCACAAUGGGCGCAAGCCUGAUGCAGCCAUGCCGCGUGUGUGAAGAAGGCCUUCGGGUUGUAAAGCACUUUCAGUCGUGAGGAAGGUAGUGUAGUUAAUAGCUGCAUUAUUUGACGUUAGCGACAGAAGAAGCACCGGCUAACUCCGUGCCAGCAGCCGCGGUA